rnacentral:rRNA from 1 species
GGGCGCAAGCCUGAUGCAGCCAUGCCGCGUGUGUGAAGAAGGCCUUCGGGUUGUAAAGCACUUUCAGUCGUGAGGAAGGUAGUGUAGUUAAUAGCUGCAUUAUUUGACGUUAGCGACAGAAGAAGCACCGGCUAACUCCGUGCCAGCAGCCGCGGUAAUACGGAGGGUGCGAGCGUUAAUCGGAAUUACUGGGCGUAAAGCGCAUGCAGGUGGUUUGUUAAGUCAGAUGUGAAAGCCCGGGGCUCAACCUCGGAAUAGCAUUUGAAACUGGCAGACUAGAGUACUGUAGAGGGGGGUAGAAUUUCAGGUGUAGCGGUGAAAUGCGUAGAGAUCUGAAGGAAUACCGGUGGCGAAGGCGGCCCCCUGGACAGAUACUGACACUCAGAUGCGAAAGCGUGGG